UUAUGGAGGAGGAAACUGGGGCUCAGAGAGAUAAAAGGACUUACUUAAGGUCACAUAACUAGUGAACGGUAGAGUUAGGAUGUUAGGAUUUGAAUCCAGACCUCUCAAUCCCAAGUUCUGCCUUUCUGAUGCCACGGUCAGUGUGCAUCACUGUUCCGUGGGUGCCUUUCUCCAAAUAGGAAACAGGCUAGAUCAUUGUUGAAGCAAAUGUAAACAAACUCUCAUUAAUGCUACUCUGAGAAUGGAAAAAAAAAUUUUUUUUUGAACAGGCAGACAAUUUGCAAAUAGCAAAACUUUCUAAUAAGUGUCCCGGGGGAGUCCGGAGCAGUUUCAUAAUGGGCAAAAAUUGUUCUUUGACUUCUCUCUCUCUCUUUUUUUUAAUGUGGAUAUCAUUCUACUUGUUCAGGAAACUGUGACGUCAGCUCUUUCUGGGAAGGGGUGGAGGAUUCAGAACCUGCUUUUAGCUACUAAGAGCUCUCAACUACGUUUCCCAAUUGAGACGCUCGGUGGAGGCUGGAGCUGGUCACCAUGCAGCAUCCAUGGACGCAUACCCAGAGGAUACUCCUGGCUCUGUCUCUCUUGCUCUUUCUGGAACCCUUCGUCCAAGGUUUUCCUGCCCGGAGGGCAAGAUUCCAUUGGGUUCGAUGUCGCCCAGAUAGCCUUUCUGCCAACUGCCUUGAAGAAAAGGGGCCGUGGUUCAACAUGCCUGAAGGUGAAGACAAUGGGGUCGUCAAUCCUCCAGUGGAUUCAAAUCUAAUGAAGAGACCCCAGGACACGGCUGAAGAGUCCCUUUUCUCCAAGGAAGAUCCUUGGUCCAUCUCUGGCUCUGCCUCUGGCUCGGGCUCAGGCUCUGGCAGUGGCUCCUUACCUGAGAUGGAAACCGAGCCAAUAGACGAGGAGGAUUUCUACAAUUUCAGCCCCUCGGAAGGUGAGAAUGUGGAACAAGAACUAACAGAGGAAGAACUGCUCAUCUAAACACCGAAGCACACCCCCACGCUGAAGGCUGACCAGACAUCUUCUGGGGAUUCUAGAUAAGAAACAACGAACUCCCGGACAAAGUGCUUUGUGGAAAAUGCACACCUUCUGGAAGAGCUUCAGUCUGUAUCUCUUUUUCUUCAUUACAAAUCUUAACCAAAUGUACAUUUAUACAUGAAUGCAAUCACCAUCCCCUCUUGUUUGCUCACACAUAAAACAUCUUGUCUCCAUGCCUUUGCACAGCUGUCCCCACACCUGGAAUGCAUUCCCUCUUUUUAAUGUAUAUCUCCACCUCUACCUCUAGGAAUCCCUCCAGUCUUCUCUCUUUCCUCAAAAAAUUUUGUAUUCCCUUAUCUAUGAUAAAUGUUCUAUUUCCCCCAUUAAAAUAUAAUCUCUUGGAGGGUAGGAACUGAUUUUUUUUUCUUUGAACCCUUCAGUGCUUUGCACAUAGAUGUGUUUAAUAAAGUUUUCUUAAAUUGAAUAUAGAAUGGUAGA
rnacentral:lncRNA from 1 species